CUCAGUUCGGAUUGGAGUCUGNAACCCGACUCCAUGAAGCUGGAUUCGCUAGUAAUCGCGCAUCAGCCACGGCGCGGUGAAUACGUUCCCGGGCCUUGUACACACCGCCCGUCAAGCCAUGGAAGCCGGGGGGUGCCUGAAGUGCGCUGCCGCAAGGAGCGCCCUAGGGUAAAACCGGUGACUGGGGCUAAGUCGUAACAAGGUAGC
rnacentral:rRNA from 1 species